rnacentral:rRNA from 1 species
CCUACGGGGGGCUGCAGUGAGGAAUAUUGGUCAAUGGACGGAAGCCUGAACCAGCCAUGCCGCGUGCAGGAAGACGGCCCUAUGAGUUGUAAACUGCUUUUGUACAAGGGUAAAUCUGAAUACGUGUAUUCAGCUGAAAGUACUGUACGAAUAAGGAUCGGCUAACUCCGUGCCAGCAGCCGCGGUAAUACGGAGGAUCCAAGCGUUAUCCGGAUUUAUUGGGUUUAAAGGGUGCGUAGGCGGAUUGAUAAGUUAGAGGUGAAAUGUCCGAGCUUAACUCGGGAACUGCCUCUGAUACUGUUGAUCUAGAGAGUAGAUGCGGUAGGCGGAAUGUAUGGUGUAGCGGUGAAAUGCUUAGAGAUCAUACAGAACACCGAUUGCGAAGGCAGCUUACCAAUCUAUAUCUGACAUUGAGGCACGAAAGCGUGGGGAGCAAACAGGAUUAGAUACCCUUGUAGUC